AUGAAGUUACGAGAUGUGUGGGUGUGGAAGAGGAGAAGGAGUUUUUCUCUUGGAAGGAACUCCAUGCCAAUUUAUUUUGGAUGCCUCCUUUAUUUUGGGAAUUGAAGUGGAAGAGUCCACUUCACUUGGGACUUAAUUUCCUUAAUAUUCCAUGUGUUUUCUUCACCCCACGCACCAUUUGAUGGCUUUUGGGAUAAUGUUGGCAUAGAAGUGGAGGAGUCCUUCUACUUGAAGGCUCUUCCACACCCAAAAACUUCUAUAUAAAAAUUAAACCUUUAUGGAAAGUAAUGGGAAGUCGCUUGAGAUGUUGCUGCACCAAACAUUGAUUCCUCUCUUAAAACUUCUUAAUUCUUACCAGCCUAUUUUUUUGGGACC
rnacentral:lncRNA from 1 species